rnacentral:misc_RNA from 1 species
AGCAGCCGCGGUAAUUCCAGCUCCAAUAGCGUAUAUUAAAGUUGUUGCAGUUAAAAAGCUCGUAGUUGAAUUUCGGGAUCAAUAUGUUGGUCGUGCCUUGGUACGUACUGGCAUUAUCGAUUCCUACCUUCUGAAGAACCUCGAUGUCAUUAAUUUGGUGUCUUGGGGAAUCAGGACUGUUACUUUGAAAAAUUAGAGUGUUUAAAGCAGGCUCGCGCUUGAAUACAUUAGCAUGGAAUAAUGAAAUAGGACGUUUGAUUCUAUUUUGUUGGUUUCUAGGAUCGACGUAAUGAUUAAUAGGGAUAGUUGGGGGCAUUAGUAUUCAAUUGUCAGAGGUGAAAUUCUUGGAUUUAUUGAAGACUAACUACUGCGAAAGCAUUUGCCAAGGAUGUUUUCAUUAAUCAAGAACGAAAGUUAGGGGAUCGAAGACGAUCAGAUACCGUCGUAGUCUUAACCAUAAACUAUGCCGACUAGGGAUCGGAUGAUGUUAAUUUUUAAUGACUCAUUCGGCUACCG